CGCAAUUCUAGGCGGUGUUGUCUUAGAAGUUAGAAAAAAGUACAGGUUCCAGGGGAGGAAGUUACGAUUCAAAUCUACUCUAAAAUCGUUAGGUUGAUUUUCUAGGCACUUUAUACAUAUUCUAAGGCCUGGUAUUUCUUAAUCAUAAGAAAUCCGAUGGACAAGGUAUAAUUUGCAGUUGUCACUUCACACAGGCAGACAUAUACAUAUAUUUAUUUACAGUGAUUGUAUGCUACUAAAAAUAGAUUAGCAUCCUAAAAUUAUACUUUGGAGAUGAGUAGAUGAUCAUUUAUGUACACCUAAACAAAUACUUCGUGUAUUGAAUCAGAGAUCCUUGUUAAAUUCCUACAAGAAGGUAACACCUCCCGAAACGAAAGCUUAUUUUUUUACCUUAGCCGUAUUUGGCAUAACUUUUAGGAAGUUUUGGUCCUCAAUGCUCUUCAACUUCGUACUUCGUUUGGCCUUUUAAUUUGUUUUUGAUUCGAGCGUCACUGAUGAGUCUUUUGUAGACGAAACGCGCGUCUGGCGUAAAUAUAAAAUUUUGGUCCUUGCAUCUGUGAUGAGUUUAUUUAUAAGCUAGAGUUAGAGGAGGGGAUAAGGUCUCUGCGCAAUGCUAGGCGGUGGUGUCGUAGAAGUUAGAAAAAAAUACAGGUUCAAGCCCCGGCGACGGGGAGGAAGUUACGAUUCAAAUAUACUCUAACAUCGUUAGGUUGAUUUUCUAGGCACUUAUAUAUAGAGUCUAUAAGAAUCUACCAACCAGUAAACUUAAUAGGUAUAAACAAGUCUAAAUUGAAAACAACGUUCAUACCUAUGAUUGCAUUGGAUAAAAACCGCAAUUUUUAUACGUGUGCAUGUAAAACAAAUUUCGUUGUAGAAGGGUCUAAAUACAGCACAAACAACAUUUUCCAAAAGACCAAAACAGUGAAAAAGUAUAUUUUAACAAAACGCAUUUGACUCACAGGUCGAACAACUGAUGUUCAUAACUAUAUAUUUUCCAAAAGACCAAAACAGUGGAAAAGUAUAUUUUAACAAAACGCAUUUGACUUACAGGUCGAACAACUGAUGUUCUUAAACCCUGCUAACUGCCAUUGGCGAUUGCCAAAUAAAUUGAUCACACGAUGUAACAAAAUGGAUCUUAUAUUAAUUUAAUACCAAACAGAAAACAAUAAACUUGCGG
rnacentral:lncRNA from 1 species